AACGAACGCUGGCGGCAGGCUUAACACAUGCAAGUCGAGCGCCCCGCAAGGGGAGCGGCAGACGGGUGAGUAACGCGUGGGAAUCUACCCAUCUCUACGGAAUAACGCAUGGAAACGUGUGCUAAUACCGUAUACGUCCUUCGGGAGAAGGAUUUAUCGGAGAUGGAUGAGCCCGCGUUGGAUUAGCUAGUUGGUGGGGUAAAGGCCUACCAAGGCGACGAGCCAUAGCUGGUCUGAGAGGAUGAUCAGCCACACUGGGACUGAGACACGGCCCAGACUCCUACGGGAGGCAGCAGUGGGGAAUAUUGGACAAUGGGCGCAAGCCUGAUCCAGCCAUGCCGCGUGAGUGAUGAAGGCCCUAGGGUUGUAAAGCUCUUUCGCCGGUGAAGAUAAUGACGGUAACCGGAGAAGAAGCCCCGGCUAACUUCGUGCCAGCCGCCGCCGUAACAC
rnacentral:rRNA from 1 species